GGGGGUAUAGCUUAGUUGUAGAGUGCAUGCUUAGCAUGCUUAGGUCCUGGGUUCAAUCCCCAGUAUUUCCA
rnacentral:tRNA from 1 species